rnacentral:lncRNA from 1 species
AUGGAGGUGAUACCUUGUCUUAAUGUGGCAGAUGAACAGAAGAGAGAGACAGAGAGAGAGAGAGAGAGAGAGAGAGAGAGAGAGAGAGAGAGAGAGAGAGAGAGAGAGAGAGAGAGAGAAUCCAUUCCCAUAAACUCUUUUUAUGGUGACAUCCUUUUCCAUUCACCAGGGCAGAACCUGAGUGACAUAUGUACAUCCCAAAAGGCUCUAUCCUUCAACCUUGUUGUCCUGGACAUGAUUACCAAGGGCUCAAGAUGUCAAUAUUUGUAAGACAGACUGGGCUGCAAGUGUCUGGAGUGACCCAUAGGGCAGUGGUGUGUUCACAAUGUGUAUGGGAGGAAAGCAGAGAUAAAAUGCUCUCGGAGGAAUUAGAAAGUAUAAUGGAUUAAUUCUGUUCCACCUGAACUCCUCUCCUUCCCAGCAUCCAUAUCAUCAGGUGAAGAGCCAGGAAUGAAGAAGGCAAGUAUAAGCAUUCAUGAAUAACAUCAUUGACUUCAUUUGAAACAGGCAAAAGAUCUGCUUCCAAAGCUGGAGAAAGGGUAAAGAGAUACAGGAAGCAUCUGUGGCCACAUACAUUAAAGAUUUAGAAAUUUUGAAUAAGUUGCUGACAAAGAUUUGGAGUAAGAAUUUUGCCAAUAGAAAAAUGAUUUGCCAUAAAACAUGCAGAAAAUUAGAAGGAAAAAAUGAAAAAUCCACGAAGGAUUUCCUUUAUUGUUCAAAAUGAUUAGCACACACAUCUUAACAAUUUCUUUCUCCUCAAAUAUAAGAGAAAUAUGUUAAUCUUUAAAAAUAGAACUGUGAAGCAUUGAGUUCCUUUUAUUUGGGAUUUUUCUCUCUAGGAGAAAUCUGUCUAGAAGCAAACCAAUGUGUUCUUGGAUUUUCUCUAUUGAUAAAAACAAUUCUGAUUUCUAGGUGAAUAAAAAGCAAAGCUUUUCAAACA